AGCGCGAUGGGGCCGGGGACACGCGUGGGGCGGCCACGCUCCUGUCGGGGGAGGUCAGGGCUGGGCUGUGUGGGGGGUUAUUACGUGGGGGUCACAAGCCCCCCCAGCUCUGCCGCUCCCCGGGAAAAGGCGGGAGGGGCUCUGAGAGGCACCGGCUGGGAGAGGAGCGGGGCCGGGGCCGGGGGAAAUGAUGAGCGGUCGGGGGGGGUCAGGCUGGCCUCGGGGACCUCCCUUAGCUGGGCUGGAGAGGACGGUAGCGGCCCCGGGGCAGGCUGGGAGAUGUAGUUCCUGACUCUCCCGUGAGCGGAUGUGACGUCGCGGGCAGGCGGAGCCGAGUUGCAAACGAGCCCGGGCCGCUGCGGCUCUGCCGGGCUCUGCGGGGCCGUUGGAGCCUCUCCCCGGGCGGAGAAGGAUGUGUGACUGAGAUCAGGGCUCCUAUCGUACUGAGCGUGGCCCUGUUCUGCCAGCUGAUGCAGAGACCUCAAUUGAGAUCUGGGCCCUGUUCUAACAGGCGGUGAAGAGAUCCCAGGUGAGAUCAGACCCCACUGUUGUUCCAGGCUACAGCAUAACGUCCACGUUUUGCUCCAGAUCAUCCCAUCCUCCCAGGGGGAAGGCAAUGGCUGCAAUGGAGCUGGCUAAGGGGCCGGUGACUUUCGAGGAGGUGGCUGUGUA